UUUGCCUUCCUGGUGGGUGAUUCAGAGUCACACACGGUAGGUAAGGUGUAGAGGUGGAGGGUUGGGGGUAAAGGAGGAGUGACAGCUUGUGAGGGGAAUGAUCUUGGUUGGGCCAGCUAUUGGUCAUACUAGCCUUGGAAAUUCCACCCUUUUUACUCACCCACUUGUUAUUUCUUCAUCUACUCACCAAAUAUUUGUUGAGAACCUUGGUUUUAGGCACUAGAAAUAAAAUUCUGAGCAUAAGUGGCAAAGUCGCUAUUCUUGUGAAGUUUAAAAUCUCAUGGGGGAAGACAGACAAGCAUCAAAUAACCUCCAAGUACAGACCAACAGCGACAUCAGCUACCUGCUGUGAAGGGGAAGGCCAGGUGCUAUGUGGGUGGCACACGGCCUGUUUUGAGCCUUCAAAAAGAAGUGCUCGGAUGUUGCCCAGGGCACAGCAUCUUUUGGAGUUGCCCGGCUGUGUGUGGAUGAAGGAAGGCCUCUGAGGACCUUAGUGGAGGCCCCCAUGGCCCCCGGUGAUUUUCAGAUGACAAGUCUUUCAUGUGUUAGGGCACAUCCCCAAAUCUGCAGAGCAUUGAGCCCUUCUGCUCAUUCGGCUGCUGGGAAGGCCAGCCUGAACCCUGCAUGGUUGAUUUUUUUUUUUUGAACACUGGGCAGCUGAUUUAUACUUUCACCCUUUGGCUGUUUCUGUGAAGGAGGAGUUUUAAACAUAUCCCCAGAAUGGCCUCGUGGGCACACCAUGGUUUCCUCCAAGAACACUCAGAGGGGUAGGAAAGGCAGAGGUGGGAAACGUACGCAGGCCGUGAACAGAAAAGGCAGAAUAUUCAUUCCCAAGUUCGGUCUAAAGCCCAUGGUUGACAACUUUCAAGAGAUCUCACACUGUAUGUUGUGCUGUUUUUGAAAUGGGACUGAGAAGACUGAAAAGCAAUCCUACAAAAUGUUACCCGUGUUUAUCUCAAGGGUGGGAUCAUCAGGUAGUUUCAGUUUCGUUGUUCUUCUUAAUUUCUUGCAAAUACUCUAUUUUCGUGUACUACUGUGGCAAAUAGAAGAUAAACAGCAAACGUGAUCUUUUCCAAGUGGCGUCUGUUUGGGAGCAGACAUACCCUGAGGAGAUGUUUCCCUGCCGGUAGCUUCUUUGAGGCGAGUUACUGUGAAUCUCAACCGCGAAGCCCAGCUCAGGGUGUGGCGACAGCAGCCUCCCUCGGUGAGAGCAGCGGGCGGCAGGGAUGGAGAAGGCGCCUGUGUCAAGAGAUCCGAGGGGCUUCAGGGAACAUUCGAGGGAGAAGGUCGUGAGGCUCAGCCCUGCACACUCUGAAGCCUCCACGUGUGUCAGGUGGGGGCGUGGGGUGGGGCAGGCCUUCCAAAAUGACACUUUUGUUUUCAAUUAAACAUUAUCUGCACUGUCCAUGGGGCAGAGCUGUGAUGUCCAGUGUGUGGAUGGGGCUUGACUGUGAGGGCCUCAGACACCAAGCCCGCAGAUUCCUGAAAAAGCUCCGGUUCAAAAUUACCAAAGCCUUCCGGGUCAGGCUGUGGAAGUCAGUCAGGCUCCGGAAGCCAAGUUCCGGAAGUCAGUAAGGCCUCGGAAGUCAAGUCCUGGAAGUUGGGCUUGCAAUCAUUAGGUGGAGAUAUUGUUUGUUCUGUGCUCAGAAUUCCCUGGAGUGAGACUCAGGACAAUAUUAAAUCCAAUGAAUCACGCAGCUUUCAGGAGGGCAGGGCAGCACGCUGCAGAGCAGCACUGAAUGAUGGCUUGGCCUGGCGUCCCUGGUGGCAGCAGUGGCCGCACCAGGCACCGUGUUCUCAUUCAACAAAGACUCAGUUUUGAUGUGAGGACUGUGAACAUCUCCAGAACAGGAGACAUUUGGAAGAGCUUGUGCCCACUGGUAUCUGAAACUUGGCUGCUCAUUCUUCAGAAACCCCUUGUAUCCUGCUAUGAUUCCUCAGCAACACCAUCACAUGGAAAAGAACCAACAAUGUGAAGAAACGAAUAUGGUGUUCAUUUUCAAACUGAAAAAGGAAAUAAUUACAGUUACUAUUUACAGUGUCUGGCUUUUCAAGCUUCAUGCUACAAGCAGCUAACUCUUUGUCAAACAAUUAAUUUUGUUUAAAAUAAAUAAGUUUAUAUAUUUAA
rnacentral:lncRNA from 1 species